rnacentral:lncRNA from 1 species
GGGGGAGCCAGAGAGGGGGAGGCUCAGAGGGAGACAGGGAGAAUGCAGGGAAGAGAAAGAGAAAGAAAGAAGGGAAGAGAGGAGAAAGGAAGAAAGGGGAGGAGAGAGGAGACAGCGUGCAGAGAGAGAGACUUUUCACUUCUCCAGUAGAGGAAGAAAUUGCAGUACAAGCAUUGAAGAUGAGCCAUACCUUCUGAAAUUCUAGAAUUGUGACUAAACUACACAGCGGCAAGUAAGAACAGAUAUAGCCAGAGCUACAGAGAUGCUGUGGAUGACAAUUCCAGAUUUAGCAUAAAGCCUUUCGCCUCUUCUAUUAGGCUCUAUUUGCUGGGCUUCCCCUGCUCCCAGCUUGUUACAUAGCAUCGGUUGUUAAAAAUUCAGGUCUUCCCUGCGUGUCGUUAGAGUGAGUUCAACCUGGAGAUGUUAGACCUUCACUCAGCAGAUCCCCAGGAGCCUGGAGGAGCUCAGAGCAACAGCUUCCCUCUCUUCUCCAUCUGCUAGAAUUGGCCAGGGGCCUGACUUCUUGGCUGCAAUCAGUUUCCUUUCCAUUUCCCAGUUGGGAUGGAGUUCCAGCCCCUAACCCCAGCCUCGCUUGCUGGGUCCCUGAAAUCCUUGGCCAAUUUCUGCCAGCACCUGCUCCACAGGGACUGAGCCCUGCUGCCUGUUGUCCUUGUAGCAGUUUUGGACAGAACUUUUUGGCUUCUGGCCUUAGCCUUCUGAGGACCCCUUGUUGCUGUUGCCACGCCUCUGGUCAGAUCUUGGUGUCCAUGUGACUCCAAGCAUGACUUUAGAUUAUCUACAGCCCUGGGAUUCAGCAACUGCCAGCACUGCUUGACGACGAGGCCCCUCUCAGGUUGGCAUCCUCCAUCCAACUGUGUCCACUCCAUCUUUUAUUCACACCGAGAAAUCUCUUCUAAUCAUACAAUGGGAGCCCGAGGAUUCC